UACGUAGGGGGCAAGCGUUGUCCGGAUUUAUUGGGCGUAAAGAGCGUGUAGGCGGCCAAGCAGGUCAGCUGUGAAACUCGAGCUCAACCUCGAGACGCCGAUGGAAACCCUCGAACUAGAGUCCGGAAGAGGAGAAUGGAAUUCCUGGUGUAGCGGUGAAAUGCGCAGAUAUCAGGAAGAACACCCGUGGCUAAGGCGGUUCUCUAGUACGGUACUGACGCUGAGACGCGAAAGCGUGGGGAGCGAACAGG
rnacentral:rRNA from 1 species